rnacentral:rRNA from 1 species
ACGGAAGGCAGCAGUGGGGAAUAUUGCACAAUGGGGGAAACCCUGAUGCAGCGACGCCGCGUGAAGGAAGAAGUAUUUCGGUAUGUAAACUUCUAUCAGCAGGGAAGAUAAUGACGGUACCUGACUAAGAAGCUCCGGCUAAAUACGUGCCAGCAGCCGCGGUAAUACGUAUGGAGCAAGCGUUAUCCGGAUUUACUGGGUGUAAAGGGUGCGCAGGUGGUUUGGCAAGUCAGAAGUGAAAACCCGGGGCUCAACUCCGUGGAUUGCUUUUGAAACUGUCGAACUAGAGUCCAGGAGAGGUAAGCGGAAUUCCUAGUGUAGCGGUGAAAUGCGUAGAUAUUAGGAGGAACACCAGUGGCGAAGGCGGCUUACUGGACUGGUACUGACACUGAGGCACGAAAGCGUGGGGAGCAAACAGGAUUAGAUACCCUGGUA